AAGAGACGAAGAGGAUGGGAGAUGUCUGUGCUCUUGAAAAAUAAAACCUUGGCUAGUGGUAACUCACGAAGCACCAUUAUUUCCAUCGUCUCAUUGUACGUCUGGCAGUCAGCACCCGACGCCAAGUCCUUGCCAGUGUGUUAAUAAGUGUUGCGGAGAAACGAUCUAAUUUAGUGUAAUUUUACUUAUCAAAAACUUCUUUUUUGCUCACAUUUGUCAUCCAAAAAGUCUAAAGCACCUCCCUGUAAAAUCAAUUCCUAACCUAGAACAAGCAGAACAGUGCAAGAACCAGUGAUGGGCAGUGUGGUUGUGUGCUGUUGUGUUAUUGUGUGUGGCUGAGUGAUGUGGAUCGGACCUCGCCUCUUGGACCCCACUGACCAUGCAGAGUUUGAUAUUACUGCACGCACGUGAUGUACCUUUAUCCAGAGACGCUUUGCUCUCUCACCACGAUUAUUUUCAAACUGUGGUACCGAUGCUUCACUGAUUAUCUAACCCAGGCAAAUUAUAUAGGAAACCUUAGUCAUUCUGUAGCUCCGAGUGAUAAUCUAAGAUAGACAACAAUAGAGAAGGCAGGAGAAACUGGUUGGUACUGCAAAGGAUCAUCAGUUGUCUGCCUCCUCGCUUCGCUCAGUGCCUUGCUGGCGGAAUGUUGCCGACAAGCCACGACUUGAAGACAAAAGGUCAGGUCGGCGUCCAGCAGUGGAGUGAGGGAGCCAGGGACACUGAGGGCAACAGAACCCUCGAGGCUCUCACUGCCAGGAGAGAGACCCGUCCGUGUGGCGGCGCGUGCAGGAAGUUGUCAGCAAUUAGAUAUAACAUUACUGUGACCUUUGAUAAGUAUUGCCGGUGCACAGGUCCAUUAUCUCCAUCAGGGCUGAGCAGAUUAUUUCUAAUGGCUAACAAAGUGAUACCAGCGCGGCCGUUAGUGAGCGGGCCGGCCAGCUUUUGAUACUGGAAUACUACUAUGGGUGUCAGAGGACGUGUUCCCGUUUUUGGGGAUUAACUCUAACAAACUGAUGAACCGGGAUCACACUUUGACAGAGCUUGUUUUAGACAUUCAGACGCUAAUUUCUGCCACUACGUAUGGUCAAGUGACAAAAUUGGACCAGGCUGCUUUUUUUGAUUUUCGAAUAUUGUUUCCUUCCCACUGUUACUGAAAUUGAACACAAAAAGCGGCUCAGACACAAUGAACACUAUAACAGUAUAUGAAAAAAAGUCACGGCAAUGCAACACCGAGGUCAUAUGGUGCCAGGAACAAGAACUGACGUGGAAACGAUGAAAAUGAAUUGUAGAAGCGCUUCAAACACAAUGUACAAUAAUGAACAGUGAGCCACGGCAAUGCAACACCGAGGUGGGGCGGCAAGAACAAGGACUCAUGAGGAAAGGAUACAUCAAGUUCAGACCACAACUUUCCUCUGUUAUAUUUACGACAUCAGGAGCCAGGACAGAGCCGGGGCUUCCAUGCAUGGCUCAGCAGCACUCGCAGGGAAGCAGAGGCGUGAAGGCGAGGAGAGGAGGCGUUGCGUAGCGGACUGGAUGAGAUGUGGGCUUUGCUUCUCCCUCCUGAUAUCGCUCUUGCCUACCCGCGUGGGACCAGAGACGGUAUUUUCAACACUUUGCUAGCGGCGCCUUGACAACCUCUUGGGUCAGUGUACUUGCUCUUACUGAAUAAAAAUAACU